rnacentral:rRNA from 1 species
UACGUAGGGUGCAAGCGUUAAUCGGAAUUACUGGGCGUAAAGCGUGCGCAGGCGGUUUUGUAAGUCUGUCGUGAAAGCCCCGGGCUCAACCUGGGAAUUGCGAUGGAGACUGCAAGGCUUGAAUCUGACAGAGGGGGGUAGAAUUCCACGUGUAGCAGUGAAAUGCGUAGAGAUGUGGAGGAACGCCGAUGGCGAAGGCAGCCCCCUGGGUCAAGAUUGACGCUCAUGCACGAAAGCGUGGGGAGCAAACAGG